CUUUUUCUUCUGCAUUUCUGCUCCCACAGUUCUUCCUCUGGAUGUGGAUAGCAUCUUUCUCUUAAGUCCUUCAGAAUUGUCCUGGAUCAUUACAUUACUGCUAGUAGAGAAGUCCAUUACAUUCGAUUGCACUGCAGAAUACACUUGAGUCUUGAAGAGAUUUAAGAAGUCAAGAAAUCCUGUUCAUCGAUGGAAUCCCUGAUGGAGCAAGCUGCUGAGCCCUUGGGGAAAACGACCGGGAGCCAGCGUGUGCCAAAGAGACAGGGCAAUGUGAUAAUAAGCAGAUUCCCACUGAUCGCAGAGCAUUUUGAGGGCUCACAGAUGUGUGUGACAGCCAGAUUAUUAAAACAACUUUGAACAUCUUACUGAGUCC
rnacentral:lncRNA from 1 species